AGGAAGGAAAGACAAGGGGCUUUGAUGAGGGAAAGGAAGCCUCGCCCUUGCCUCUGUCCUCCGGCCUGCCUCCCCUUCCCCGCCCGCUACAGCCAGGGUGCGGUGGCCAGGGUGCGAGGGUCCCACCCUCUCAGCCUUCAGGUUGGUUCCCCUGUUGGUCACUGAGGUCUCCCGGGAAACACGCCAUACACCUGUGUGAAGGGACAGUCGCCCCGCCCCCGCCCCCCAAGGAAAGAGAAGAGCUUGUGGGGAACUAUGUAGCUGGAAUGGACUUGGCCCUGGGGACAUGACACUGACUUGAUGAUAUCUAGUGGGAAGUCCUGAAGGUUCUUCUGCCAGGUACGUAGGCAGCCCAGGCAGUGAGCAUGGGUACAGCUGAGCAGGAUGCCAAACACCAUCUGAGCUUCUGGCUUGUCCCAUACUUUAUCCAUGCAGAUGGCAUACACCACAUCCCAACUGCCCUGCUUUCUCUGCCACUCCUCAAGGCUCAGGCUCUGAAGUGAGGCUGUCAGCUCCCAGACAAAGUCAGACUGUGGCUGAGAUUACUGGAAGUGGCUGUGAUGCUCAUCAGCAGAUGAUAGAGACGGGCUUCCUGGAACUGCCACUAACCUCCUGUAGACCAGGCUCCAUGUCCCAGCAGGUCCCAGCCCAGGCCCAACCUACAGCCAUAACCAUGGAAGGCAGGUGGCCUUAGGUGCUGACAGCUGCUUUGGUCUCCAUGGAAGCAGAAGCCCCGCUGGAAGUACCUGCAGACCUGGGGCACCUUUCUGUCAUAAGCAUGGCAACUUGACCCCCAGUGAUCAUCCCUGAAUGGCAGCUGGGAACGGGGCUUGCUCUCCCUACCAUGACUGUAGUCAUCCUACCCUGCAGCAUCCAUCCCAGCUGCAGGUCCCUGUGAGCCUCCAUUCGUUUUCAAACACCCAUUGAUCAGUUUGCAUUUU
rnacentral:lncRNA from 1 species